GGAGACGAUUUGCGUGGUGACAUUAAUAGUCGUUUGUAUGAACAACAGCACUCCCAAAAUAUAAACCCACGAAAAUUGAUAAGACUUACAUACCUGAAUUUUAUUGCAACCCUAAGUCAGGGCCCGCAUUUUCAACAAUGUAUUGUGAAUCAGCAAAUUACUAAAAAUUUGAAUAAUAAGCCGAAUUGUCGACUAUUUUAUUCCCCAUCCAGAAGCAAGUUAUUUCGAAACAAUAAUGGGAAUGGUAAAAAAUACCUGGGACUAUCUACAAACGCUAUCAGCAGCAUAUCCGUGUGGCUUGAUGGCAAUGCCAUUCGAUGGGAAUGGUGUGCCACCACUAAUGCAGAACGUGGAGAAGCACAGGCGGGCAGGAGUUCACGAAUUCGCAGGAGUUCAAAAAGUCGGACGAGCAGUUCGUGGUUUAGGUGGAGGAAGGAACCUCAGAAGAUGAAGCAGAUGAUAUUCAUGAACUGGAGGAUGCGUUCAACAAACUCGCUCCAAUCCUUUAAUCCUGAUGAUUCCCAUUUUUAGUAACUAAAAAAACAAAAAAGUAAUACAAAUAAUUAUACAAAUUUUUUCCGUUUUGAUCUUACCGCUUGACCAGCACAGACGGCACUGAGCUCUAUAAGGGAUCUCCGUAUGAGGAGGCACAAAAAUAUUGAGAAUCGCCUACUCUUCUGACAUUUUAUGAUUAACCAACACAAAUUUACAAACAUGACUGAAUAAAUUGUGAUUUUAAGCGGAGUUUUAUUCAGUCUAACCCACUGAUUAAUACGACUUCAGUUCCAGAUUCCAAUCGAGCAAAGCCAGAUGCCAGAUGCUGAGCCUCAGAAGCUUCAAGAGACACCCCCAGCAUGCAUAAAGCCAAAGUCCCAGUUUAUGCCCAGGACUCCAGGUAGCUGAAAGGUUCCUGCUGAGGCCAAUGUUUUCUGCAGCAUCUCAUUUGCAGCUUCCUUUAUUAUACCCGGUACUCUUACGAAU
rnacentral:lncRNA from 1 species